GUUGAAUGAUUGUGAGCUGGAGCGAGAGUUUAACGACACUUGUGUGGAACGAGAUGGCGAGCCUCCCACGACGGAUUUUAUGAGCUGUGCAUACGCAAGAAGCUAAACGCUCUCUGCUAGACUGGAUCCGGAUCUCACCCAAUCUGGUAGAAGGGUGUGUGCACACCCUCGUACUGAAAAAAAAAUCUGUAAAAGUGACAUCAUCUCUGUAUUCUUCAUCCUGUUCAGAAUUUGACUGAACAUGCAAUGCACUGCCGUGUCGGCCAGGUUCUCCUCCUAAGUGCAAGCGCUGAUCCAUUGAAAAGUUAUACUCAACAAAAGCUGUUAGCGUUGGCUGUCCAGAUGUCAGCUGUGGUGGAAACAGAGUGCACCUCUCCAAGUGUGGCCUUCAAAGUAGAUUCCAUCACUACUUAUUCUCUCUCCAUGUAGCAGGCUAAUAUCUGUAUGGCAACUUGUCAUUGCUCUUUGUAGGUCUUUUAUCUAUAAUGCAUCAAAAUGAGGGUCACCAGGGGAAAUGGGUAAUACCUCCUCCACAGUACACCCAAUGACAAGCUUCUUCAGAUCUUCUCCACCUAACAUCUGUCCAUCAGCGUAUCCUACUUUGAAGUCCACUUUCUGCUGUCUGGCCAAAGUGCAUUCAUCUCUGGCAGCAGAGGCCUCUGUGCCGACAAGUUUCACAUGCUUUAAAAAAGUAAAUGUCUAUUUCAUGGUUAUAAAGAUUUUGAUGCCCAAAUAGUUUAUUAUGGACAAUGCAUUAACAUAUUUUGUAUCUUUGACUGGGAUAAACUGAAAACAAUGACAAUACUCGCAGUUGGUGAAAACAUGUUUCUCACUCUCAUCUUUCAUCCUUCCUUUAGCUUUUUGGCGAGUAGCUGAUUUGAACCUGUCCACAUACACGUGUCAUAAGAUAGUCCUCCUACAGUAGGAUAAAAGUAAUAUUGCAUUCAGACUACACAGUAGUGCAGUGUUAUUUCUAGUAGUAACUUUAAUACUAUUACAUUCCUAGAAAUUGUCACCCUCAGUGUUCACUGCAGGUUAUGCAGCUCACUUAUAGCUUUUUCAUAACAGUGGCAGCAUGUAAUUUAGGAUGAACACAUCAGUGUGUGGUAGUAUGGUCUGUGGUGCUCUGCUUUAUUAUAAUUUUACCCAAAAACCCAGCAAGUGAAGAAAGUAAAAGAACUCAACAGAAAGCAAGUGAAGACAUAUAUAGAAGGAGGCGGAAAAGGAGAAAGCAGGUGAUGUGAGGGAACAGCGUCUAAGUGGAGGGGAGGAGUAGAGGAGGAAGAGAGUGAGAGAACAGGAGAAGCUGGGGACCUGACACAUCUGGUUACAGUAAAAAAAUUUAAAAAAAGAGUGAGGAGAGGGAGCCGAUCUACAGUAAAAGUCUUGUCUCUUUCUUAAAUAGAGCAUGAAGACCACACACUCGCUGAGUGGGACUCGCCUGUUGCGGGCAAACUGGGCCGUGAUUGCAUAGUUUAUGGCUGAGGCAUGAUGGGUAAAGAUUAAAGAUGGCUGCCCUGAGGGCAUACAGCAAUACCAUUACUCUUGAUGGAUUCUUUCUUCGCACACAUAUUCUCUACAGACGUCACAUAGGCCACAGAGGCUUGACUAAAACAUGGUGUGAUGAUGGGAUCAGGAGAGGCAGGGGAUGGAUGCUCAGCAGCUUCACCAAACCUCCUGUUCCCUUCUCUUGUCCUCAUCUGUGCUCCACACUGCUCUGCACAUAACACAGUCUAUAAGAUAAUGCUCAGUGCUUACAAGAGCUGAAAAUUGCCAGGAUGUAUGUAUGAGAAUGUAUAUAGAACAAAAUGUCAUUGUUGAUUUUUGAUUUUUUUAAAUUCAUCUUUCUCAAGACCAAUAGUUUGUAAAAUUUGAGAGCAAUUAUGUACAAGGCUAAUCCUCACCACUUUGAUUUAAAAUAAAAAU